UUGAUCAAUUUGGUAUACUUGAUCUGAGAUUUCAAGGAUCUGCUUUCACUUGGACCGAUAAGCAGAUUUAAAGAACAACGAUAGAGAGGGUUUUGUACUCAUCCUUGUGCAUAAUAAUGCAAACAAUUCUGAAAGUUCAGGAAUUAAUACAAAACCAAAGAUGAUGACUAUGAUGAGUUGGCAUGAGUUGAAUUUCCAAUAUGUUAUUUUCUGUGAAAUGUUAAGUUGCUUCAGUCCAGAUAUCCAAUUGCAGAAUCUAAUUUCAUGUUAUGUGUGCAUGUAAAAGGCGUUCAAUUUACUUCAACUAAACUGGAUCUGCUCGAAGAUAAAACAUGAAGUGUUACAGACACAUGGCUAUUACAACCGGAAAGCAUAGGGUUGCCUGGGUUUGAAGCUUCCAAAUGAGUUGUCAAAGUAUGUGUCAAGCAUUCUUUAAUUGCCUCCUGAUCAAGACUAUCCUCACAUAAAGCCAGUCAUAGGAAACAUUUAAGAAAUGUACGUAUGCAUAUCUCCAUGACCUAGGAUUUUGGCCUUGGAAACACAUGGGAGAUAGAUGAGAGACAUGUUUCCAUUUCUGGUAAUUCUCAUACUUCUCCUGUUUCUUGAUUCGUAAUUUUUUUAUGGAUUUGUGUUUCUGUUGCCUUGAUUCUGUGGUGUUGCCCCGGUUUGCUGUGAAAUGAGGGUACAUGAAAGAUUUGAAAAGAUUAGGGGCUAUUGGUCCCUGUGAUGUGAUCUCGAUUAGUCCCUUGGGUAUGAUGAAGAAGAAACCAGUAAGAAUCUGAGCGAGACAUGCGUGAAAUCUCUUGUCAAAUAUUGGUGCUCCCUCUUUUCUUGAGGUUGAGGAACCAUUUUUGACUAGGGUUUCAUGUUGUCCUGCCCCAAAUUCUGAGGGGUUCUUCUUUCAUCAGUCCCUUAAUUAUUGUUGCCUUGUCGGUUUAUCUUGUAAAGAUUGCAAAAAGUUCAUUGCUGCCUCUGUCGGUUGAUCUUAUAAAGAUUGCAAAUUUACAAGCCCUUGUUGCCUUGUCGGUUUAUCUUAUAAAGAUUGGUCACUGGCUAUUGCUGCCUUGUCGGUUUAUCAUGUAAAGAUUGCAAAAAUUCAUUGUUGCCUAUAAAGAUUGCUCACUAUCUAUUGCUGCCUCGUCGGUUUAUCAUGUAAAGAUUUCAAAAAAUGCACUGCUGCCUCUGUUUAUCUUGUAAAGAUUGCAAAUUUACAAGCCAUUGUUGCCUCGUCUGUUUAUCCUAUAAAGAUUGCAAAAAAGCCAUCGCUGCCUUGUUGGUUUAUCUUAUAGGUUGAGAAAUGUUGCUUUGUGGGUUUGUGCUGAUAUGGUUGUUGCCCCUUUAGACAUAUGAUAAAUACUUUACUGGCAGUAACAUCAGUGAUGCAGAUUACUCAUCCUUCUAGACUCUCAAGCACUUGGAGGAGCAUUGCUCAUGGAUCCUCUCUCCUAAGGUGUGCUUAAUAGAGAACACAUUUACUUGAUAUGAUUUUGUGAUUUGAUAAAUGGAGAACACAUUUACAUGAUAUGAUGAAUCUGGAUUAGUGUCUUAGUCUGUUUAAUGGAGAACACAUUUACAUGAUAUGAUGAACUUGAGGUGUCUCUACUUUGUAUCUUCUUCAUAGAGAAUGCAUUUACAUGAUAUAAUGAAUCUUAGGGAAUACAUUAACAAGGUAUGAUGAAGAAACCAGUUAUUUGAAAGAGACAUGCGUGAAAUCUCGAUUCAAACUAUUGGUGCUCCCUCUUUUCUUGAGGUUGAGGAGCCAUUUUUGACUGGGUUUCAUGCUAUCCUGCCUCGAAUUCUGAGGGGCUUUUUCUUUCAUUUGUCCCUUAAUUAUUGUUACAUGGUAAUAAUUACUUGUGAUAUAACUGCCAUUUGAUCCAUCGAAAUGAGGGUACAUGAAAGAUUUGAAAAGAUUAGUGGCAAUUGGUCCCUGUGAUGUGAUCUCGAUUAGUCCCUUGGAUAUGAUGAAGAAGAAACCAGUAAGAAUCUGAGUGAGACAGGCGUGAAAUCUCAUGUCAAACUAUUGGUGCUCCCUCUUUUCUUGAGGUUGAGGAACCAUUUUUGACUAGGGUUUCAUGCUGUCCUGCCUCAAAUUCUGAGGGGUUUCUUCUUUCAUCAGUCCCUUAAUUAUUGUUACAUGGUAACAAUUACUUCUGAUAUGGCUGCCAUUUGAUCCAUCGAAAUGAGGGUACAUGAAAGAUUUGAAAAGAUUAGUGACAAUUGGUCCCUGUGAUGUGAUCUCGAUUAGUCCCUUGCGUAUGAUGAAGAAGAAACAGUAAGAAUCUGAGCGAGACAUGCGUGAAAUCUCAUGUCAAAGUAUUGGUGCUCCCUCUUUUCUUGAGGUUGAGGAACCAUUUUUUACUAGGGUUUCAUGUUGUCCUGCCCCGAAUUCUGAGUGGUUUCUUCUUUCAUCAGUCCCAUAAUUAAUACAUGGUAACAAUUAUUGAAGUGGUGUCUUGGGUGAGGUUUGAAUUUAUUUCGUAUUAGAUUAUAGUAGGAGAACCAGAUGAGGGUUAUUGGCUUUUUAAAAUCUAUUUUCUAGGGAAGAUCAUACUAGAAAGUUUUUAAUGACUGUUAUCUAGGUCCAAGGAAUAGGUGUCUCUAGUUGUACCAAACUACUGGAUACGUUCAUACAUCAAAACAACAAAACACUCAGUUGUGUUGUAUAACUAAUAUCCACUCAGUUGAGGUGCGAAUUUAGUUCGUAUUAGAUUACAGUAGGAGAACCAGAUGAGGGUUAUUGGCUUUUCAAAAUCUAUUUUCUAGGGAAGAU
rnacentral:lncRNA from 1 species